CAGUGUUUCUACGGCUGGAUGCCCUUCCUAACGCCAACCACUCUGAGAGUGUAGUGGGUGCUUUUUACAUGCCGCCGGCACAGGUGCCAGACGAGGCUGGCAAACGGCCACGAUCGGAUGGUGCUUUUUAUGUGCCACCGACACAGGUGCCAGACGAGGCUGGCAAACGGCCACGAUCGGAUGGUGCUUUUUAUGUGCCACCGACACAGGUGCCAGACGAGGCUGGCAAACGGCCAUGAUCGGAUGGUGCUUUUUAUGUGCCGCCAGCACGGAGGCCAGGCCAGGCUGGCAAACGGCCAUGAUCAGAUGGUGCUUUUCAUGUGCCACCGGCACGGGUGCCAGAUGGGGCUGGCAAACGGCCAUGAUCGGAUGGUGCUUUUUAUGUGCCACCGGCACAGGUGCCAGACGAGGCUGGCAAACGGCCACGAUUGGAUGGUGCUUUUUAUGUGCCACCGGCACGGGUGCCAGACGGGGCUGGCAAACGGCCACGAUCGGAUGGUGCUUUUUACAUGCCGCCGGCACAGGUGCCAGACGAGGCUGGCAACGCCCACAAUUGGAUGGUGCUUUUUACGUGCCACACCUGGCAAUACCUGUCGUAAUUAAUUUCCUGAAAAUGAUGUUUUAACUAUACACGAAAACGUUCAUACCAGAGAGAACCUGUCUUAUCUGUGGUAAAUCAUUUUCUUAUAGACCUAGCUCAAUUGUACGUGAAUGAAUUCCUGCUUGAGAGAAACCAUAUCAGUGUUAUAUCUGUGGUAAGUGGAGGCACGUGGCCUAGUGGUUAGAGCAGCGGACUCGCGGCCGUGGGAUCCCGGGUUCGAAUCUCAGACCGGGUGAUGUGUGUGUUCAUGAGCGAAACACCUCAUCUCCAUGCGGAUCUGGCAGAAGGUAAUGGCGAACUUCUGCUGACUCUUUCGCCACAAAUUCCCCUCACUCUUUCUUCCUGCAUCUUGUGGAGACACAUGGCCUAGUGGUUAGAGUAGCGGACUCACAGUCGAGGGAUCGCUGGUUCGAAUCUCAGACUGGGCGAUAUGUGUGUUUAUGAUCGAAACACCUAAGCUCCAUGCGGCUCUGGCAGAAGGUAAUGGUGAACUUCUGCUGACUCUUUCGCCACAACUUUCUCUCACUCUUUCUUGUGGAGGCAAAUGGCCUAGUGGUUAAAACAGUGGACUCGUGGUCGUGGGAUCACGGGUUCGAAUCUUAGACCAGGCGAUGUGUGUAUUUAUGAGCGAAACACCUAAGCUCCACGUUGCUCCGGCAGAAGGUAAUGGUGAACUUCUGCUGACUCUUUCGCCACAACUUUCUCUCACUCUUUCUUGUGGAAGCACAUGGCCUAGUGGUUAGAGCAGCGAACUCGCAGACGAGGGAUCCCAGGUUCAAAUCUCAGACUGGGCGAUGUGUGUGUUCAUGAGCAAAACACCUCAUCUCCAUGUGGCUCUGGCAGAAGGUAAUGGUGAACUUCUGCUGACUCUUUCACCACAGCUUUCUCUCGCUCUUUCCUCCUGCAUCUUGCAGCUCACCUGCAACGGACCAGCGUCCCAUCCAGGUGGGGAACCUGUACACCAAGGAAACCGGGAAACCGGCCCUUAUGAGCCAGGCAUGGCUCGAGAAGGAACAAACAAACAAUAUAUCUGUAGUAAAUCAUGCUCUCAUAGACCUACCUUAACUGUGCACAAGCAAAUUCGUACAGGGGAGAAACCAUAUCAGUGUAACAUGUGGCAAAUAAUUCUCUCGAAAAAGCCACAUGCAUACACAUGUGGGUAUUGGCACACAAGUGUAACUGUAUCAAUGUUUAAAAUUUAAUACAUGACAACAAUUAAGACUAAUUAGUCUGCUAAAACACAGGGUUUUUUCCCCUCGUCAACUUUGACGUCAUUUUCAAUACUGUCAAUGUGAACCUCAAAUUUGUCAUUAUCUGUAAAAAUAUUGACUCUGAGAUAACUUGAUUACUGAAAAUGCCUGCAGUUAGAUUUUGAGGAAUUUCUUUAAAAAAGGAUUAUGAAUAAAAAACUAGACUGUAACCACUGUGUUUGUUUUGUUACUCAAUAUCUAGACCAGUGCUUUUCAACAUUUUUGCUGGAGCGGAACCCCAAGGAAACAUUCCACUGGCUCAAGGAACCCCUGUGCAAUAAUUUAAUAGUCUUAUGCACACAUAUCUGCACAGGAGAAUUUAAAAUUACUGCUGAUGUUUGCAGUUUUGUAACUUCUUGCGGAGCCCCUGGACUGUACUGGCGGAACCCUAUGGUUCCACAGAACCCUGGUUGAAAACCACUGAUCUAGACACUGUCUUCUCUAUACCUUAAACCUCUCAACUGGCAGAAAGACACAUUCCUUCAAUACUACUUCCCUUCUUCCCUGUUGUGGGUGUUUAUGUCAGCGAGGUCCUUGGUGACCCUGUUGAUGUUGGUGCCACAUAAAAUGCACAAGUGCCAGAGUCAUGUACAAAGCACAGGUGCUGUUGCCACACAUAAGGUACUAGUGCUAUUACCACAUAAGCCCCAGUGAUGGUGCUGGGGAAAAAGUGCUAGUACAGGUGCCAUGUAUAGGGCCCUAGUGCUGGGGCCAUGUAAGAGCACUCUUACUUACUUAUUUGUACUUGUGGCGACAUUCACCCUGGGUGGGUUGAGUCGGCUUCUUCUACCACCCUCGAGACAUGUUAAGUUAAGUUAAUUUUUUGGCGCAAAAAGCAAGGCCAUGUAGGGGGACAUGGAGUUAUGUACUGGGAGGGUGGUCAUGCAAAGUGUUCAGGCCAUUUCUGGUCAAGAGAGACUUUGAACCAAGCGGUCAUCUGCAUCUUCACUAUCUCAUCCGGCAGCUCAUUCCACAGAUCUGCAACUCGGACGGAGAAACCCCCUCUCCUUCGAUUGAGAUGAAAUCGUCGCAGAUAGAGCUUUUCGGAGUGACCCCGCAGCCGACGCUCCGGAGCAGGAGUGAAGAACAGCUCUUUCGAGAGGUUACGCUUUCCGCUUAUGAUGUUGUGAGCAAGAAUGAGAUCAGCACGGUGUCGUCGUUUUUCUAGAGAAUAAAGGUCGAGCGUCUUCAGUCUUUCUUCAUAAGACAAAUGCUUGAGACCAAGAACCAUGCGGGUAGCCAGCUUCUGGACUCUUUCGAGAUGAUGUAUGUCUUUGAGGAGAUAAGGAGAUCUUGCACCAUGGCUUCCCACACACGACGGUCCUGUGCCAGUUCACUGGAGAUAGGGAGCCAGUCACGGUUCCAUCGGCGCAGGCCGACCACCUGCAAACCCGUGAGCACAGAGAGGUCCUCCUUGAUCGUCGUAACUAGGGUCUUCAGCUGCCCACCCGCGCGUUUCCGCCAGUUGGGAAGUGGAGUCGGGAGAAGGACAUCACGGCUCAGUUCACCCACCGGACGCCUACAUGCAUGGCCAAACCACUGCAAGCGCCGUUGCAGAAGGACAGAUGGAAGGGGCUACAGAGACAGGCGAAGUCGGAGAUUGGCGGUGGGAACUCAAUCCACCCGACGAUGUAAAAGCACUCUUGAUAGUAUCACACAAAAGAAAGCAUCAAUGAUGGUGUCAUGUAAAAAGAGCAGGUACUGGUCUCGCAUAAAAUUCUUUGGUGCUGGUCUCUCAUAAAAACCAUGGGUGAGGAUCUCUCUCUAUAUAAACGGCAGUUUGUCUGUUUGGUUGUACCCUCACUCUGACCACGGCUUUCAACCGAUUCUGAUGAAACUUGACACACACAUAGCCCAAUGUCAUAAUUCAAAACUAACGCAGCGAAAAUUUUGAAAAGUUCCCCCCAGUUCUGAAAAUGAUCGAUAAAUUUGACAUGGGGUCGACAAUCAGAAACACAAACCACAGAUGGUCUAGGGGACGCAACUCGACCUUUUUAACUAUCAAAAAAAAUUUACCAUCAUUUUUUUUGCUAUUUUUUGGCUAUAACUCUCUAAAAAUGCUUUAUAGUUAUUUCCCUUACAAACCUGAGCAACGCCAGGCGAUACUGCUAGUACCAGCUAAAAGGCACUGGUGAUGGUGCCCCGUAAAAACCUCCACUGAUGGUGUCACAUAAAAUUAGCUGGUGAGGCUGUCACACAAUAAGCACCAGUGCUAAUGUGAUGUGUGGAGGCACGUGGCUUAGUGGUUAGGGUGUCAGCAUCAUGAUCGUAAGAUUGUGGUUUCGAUUCCUGGACGGGGCAACGCGUUGUGUUCUUGAGAAAAACACUUCAUUUCACGUUGCUCCAGUUCACUCAGCUGGCAAAAAUGAGUAAUCCUGUCGCAGUCUGGCUUCUCGUCCAGGUGGGGGGAACACAUGCGCCAUUGAAACCGGGAAACCGGGCCCAUGAGCCUAGCUAGGCUUUCAGUGGAGGCCCAUGGCCUAGUGGUUAGAGCAGAGGGAUCGCGGGAUCGAAUCGGGCGAUGUGUGUGUUUAUGAGCGAAACACCAAAGCUCUACACGGCUCCAGCAGAAGGUAAUGGUGAAACUUCGGUUGACUCUUUGGCCACAACUUUCUCUCCCUCUUUCCUCCUGCAUCUCGCAGCUCACCUGCAACGGACUGGCGUCCCAUCCAGGUGGGGAACCUAUACACCAAGGAAACCGGGAAACCGGCCCCAACUUUCUCUCCCUCUUUCCUCUUACAUCUUGCAGCUCACCUGCGACGGACUGGCAUCCCGGUACCAACUUUCUCUCGCUUUUUCCUCCUGUAUCUUGCGACGGACUGGCAUCCCGUCCAGGUGGGGAACCUAUAUGCCAAGGAAACCGGGAAACCGGCCCUUAUGAGCCAGGCAUGGCUUGAGAAGGAACUAAUGUGAUGUAAACAAUACCCAGUGUUCUCUAUAAAUUAGUUGGCAUUAGGAAGUGCAUCCUGCAGUAGAUAAUAUGCCAAAACAGACAAUGCAACCUCGUGCGGAUCUUGGCUUUGCCAACUUCUGUCAGGCCAUCCACCCAUGCCUGCAUUGGAAAAUGGACAUUAAAUGAUGAGGUAUAAUUAUUUCUUUAUUGCCCGCAAAGGGCUAAACACAGAGGAGACAGACAGAUGGAUUAAGUCGAUUACAUGGACCCCAGUACAUAACUGGUACUUAUUUAAUCGACCCUGAAAGGAUGAAAAGCAAAGUCGACCUCGGUGGAAUUUGAACUCAGAAUGUAACGGCAGACGAAAUACCUUAUUUCUUUACUACCCACAAGGGGCUAAACAUAGAGGGGACAAACAAGGACAGACGAAGGGAUUAAGUCGAUUACAUCAACCCCUGUGCUUAUCUAGUACUUAAUUUAUCGACUCCGAAAGGAUGAAAGGCAAAGUCGACCUCGGUGGAAUUUGAACUCAGAACGUAGCGAUAUGCGAAAUACCUAUUUCUUUACUACCCUCAGGGGGCUAAACACAGAGAGGACAAACAAGGCCAGAUAAAGGGAUUAAGUCGAUUACAUUGACCCCAGUGCUUAUCUAGUACUUAAUUUAUCGACUCCGAAAGGAUGAAAGGUAAAGUCGACCUCGGUGGAAUUUGAACUCAGAACGUAGCGACAUGCGAAAUACCUUAUUUCUUUACUACCCACAAGGGGCUAAACACAGAGAGGACAAACAAGGACAGGCAAAGGGAUUAAGUCGAUUACAUCAACCCCUGUGCUUAUCUAGUACUUAAUUUAUCGACUCCGAAAGGAUGAAAGGUAAAGUCGACCUCGGCGGAAUUUGAACUCAGAACGUAGCGACAUGCGAAAUACCUAUUUCUUUACUACCCACAAGGGGCUAAACACAGAGAGGACAAACAAGGACAGACAAAGGGAUUAAGUCGAUUACAUCGACCUCUGUGCUUAUCUAGUACUUAAUUUAUCGACUCCGAAAGGAUGAAAGGUAAAGUCGACCUCGGUGGAAUUUGAACUCAGAACGUAGCGGCAGACGAAAUACCUAUUUCUUUACUACCCACAAGGGGCUAAACACGGAGAGGACAAACAAGGACAGACAAAGGGAUUAAGUCGAUUACAUUGACCCCUGUGCUUAUCUAGUACUUAAUUUAUCGACUCCGAAAGGAUGAAAGGCAAAGUCGACCUCGGUGGAAUUUGAACUCAGAACGUAGCGACAUGCGAAAUACCUAUUUCUUUACUACCCUCAGGGGGCUAAACACAGAUAGGACAAACAAAGACAGACAAAGGCAUUAAGUCGAUUACAUCAACCCCUGUGCUUAUCUAGUACUUAAUUUAUCGACUCCAAAAGGAUGAAAGGUAAAGUUGACCUCGGCGGAAUUUGAACUCAGAACGUAACGGCAGACGAAAUACCGCUCAGCAUUUUGCCCGGCGUGCUAACGAUUCUGCCAGCCCAACUCUUCCCUUCUUGCUACGCACCCUACCCAUCAAAGACAGAGUUUCAUGAUGAGCGAUUCCAAGCUUUGACUGUUGGCUCUUUCCAGAAAUUUCUUGUUGGUCCCAUAGUAUCAUCAUUUGAUUAAACAAUUCUUCUGCAUCCCUGAUCCUAACACUGGCAUCUGAGAGACGAUGCCAUCGUACAGGAUGCAGAAAUACUCUUUUACUUGUUUCAGUCAUUUGACUGCGGCCAUGCUGGAGCACCGCCUUUAGCCGAGCAAAUCGACCCCGGGGCUUAUUCUUUGUAAGCCCAGUACUUAUUCUAUCGGUCUCUUUUGCCGAACCGCUAAGUUUACCCUUUUACUUAUUUCAGUCAUUUGACUGCGGCCAUGCUGGGGCACCGCCUUUAGUCGAGCAAAUCGACCCCGGGACUUAUUCUUUUGUAAGCCCAGUACUUAUUCUAUCAGUCCCUUCUGCCGAACCGCUAAGUUUACUCUUUUACUUGUUUCAGUCAUUUGACUGUGGCCUUGCUGGAGCACCGCCUUUAGUCGAGCAAAUCGAUCACGGGACUUAUUCUUUGUAAGCCCAGUACUUAUUCUAUCGAUCUCUUUUGCCAAACCGCUAAGUGACGGGGACCUAAACACACCAGCAUAGGUUGUCAAGCGAUGCUAGGGGGACAAACACAGACACACACAUACACAUAUAUAUAUAUACAUAUAUACGACAGGCUACCAAAUCCACUCACAAGGCAUUGGUCGGCCCGAGGCUAUAGCAGAAGACACUUGCCCAAGAUGCCACGCAGUGGGACUGAACCCGGAACCAUGUGGUUGGUAAGCAAGCUACUUACCACACACACACAUAUACGACGGGCUUCUUUCAGUUUCCAUCUACUAAAUCCACUCACAAGGCAUUGGUCGUCCUGGGGCUAUAGCAGAAGACACUUGCCCAAGAUGCCACGCAAUGGGACUGAACCCGGAACCAUGUGGUUGGUAAGCAAGCUACUUACCACACAGCCACUCCUGCGCCUAUAAUGUUUGCAUAUUGCCAUGAUUUUUUUUAUUAUACAAAGCAUUUAAUCAUGUAUCUUUUAUUUGUUUCAGUCAUUACACUGCGACCAGGCUGGAGCACCAAGGAUUUUCAGUCAAAUGUUUCGACCCUGGGACUUACUUUUCUUAAAGCCUGGUAUGUAUCUUAUUGGCGUCUUGUCGAUCCACUCAGUUGCAGGGAUGUAAUCACAGCAUCAGCAUCAACCGUUCAAGUAUUUGGACCUGGAGGUCCCCGUUUCCAGCGACUUCAAGGGGCCACCUCCCAGUGGUGUCGGGCGUCAACAAAGAGCCCUCGACUACAACAAGACAGCCCAAAUUUUUUUUUUUUUUUUUUUUUUUUUUUUUACCAAGGUCUGGGGUCUCCCGCCCCUAAGACCUACAGCAGAGGUUUUCAACCCGGGUUCCGCCAGUACAGUCCAGGGGUUCCGCAAGAAGUUACAAAACUGCUAAAAUCGGCAGUGAUCUUUAAUUCUCCUGUGCAGAUAUGUGUGCAUAAGACUAUUAAAUUAUUGCACAGGAGUUCUUCGAGCCAGUGGAAUGUUUCCUUGGGGUUCCGCUCCAGCAAAAAGUUUGAAAAGCACCAACCUAGACCAUCAUCUAAUCACCCUUUACCCGUCUUGUUGCUUAGCAACACCAACACCAACAAUCACUGCAGCCUCCACCGCCGCCACUGCUGGCAUCACCUUUGCUGCGACUGCCACCAUUGCUGUUCCUGCCAUCACCACCACCAAGAAUUUGGACCUGAAGGUCUCCAUUUCCAGCGACUUCAAGGGGCCACCUCCCAGUGGUAUCGGGCGUCAACAAAGAUUCCUCAACUACAACAAGACAACCAAAGUUUUUUUUUUUUUUUCCCCCAAUUAAGGGGUCUCCCGCCCCUAAGCCCUAGACCAUUACCUAAUCACCCUUACAAGUCUUGUUGCAUAACAACAACACCAGCAACACCAAUUGUCCAGUGGUGACCGGGUGAUAGACACACACAGGCAUAUGUAUGUUUUCUUUUAUAUAUACCUACCAACUCCACCCACAAGACUUUGGUCGAACCAAGACUAUUGUAGAAGGAACCUGCUCAAGGUGCCACUCAUUGGAAUUGAACCUGGAGCCAUGUGGUCAAACAACUGUUUUGGAGAAUAUGAUGCCCCACGGAUAUCACAACAUGGUUUCGCAUCUGCAUGAAUACAUUUGUGCUUUUUCAAGUGACCAGUUUCCGAAGAUGAUUUACCACGGAUAUUGCAAUAAUGGAGGCGCAAUGGCCCAGUGGUUAGGGCAGCGGACUCGUGGUCGUAGGAUCGCGGUUUCGAUUCCCAGACCAGGCGUUGUGAGUGUUUAUUGAGCAAAAACACCCAAAGCUCCACGACACUCCGGUAGGGGGUGGUGGCGAACCCUACUGUACUCUUUCACCAGAACUUUCUCUCACUCAUUCUUCUGUUGGCCUGCUCGCUUAGCCAGCGGGGUGGCGUCAUUUGUAGGCUAAAACAAUGCGAAGCGCAUUGUGACAAGCGAUGUGUAGCAACAUCUGAUAACCUGAUCAGUCACGGUGAUUACAAUAAUAUAGUCUUUCUUUAGUAUCAAUACGUUUGUGACUAGUCAACUGACUAUGAUGAGAGAAUGAUUUACCCUGAUAUUACAAUGAUAUGCCUUCACUCCUGAUGGAUACGUUUGUGACUAGUUAAAGUCCUAUUUGUGGAGGCAUAUGGCCUAGUGGUUAGAGCAGCGGACUCGCAGUCGAGGGUUCGAAUCUCAGACCAGGCGAAGUGUGUGUUUAUGAACGAAGCUCUAGGCGGCUCCGGCAGAAGGCAAUGGCGAAACUUCUGCUGACUCUUUCAUCACAACUUCCCCUCACUCUUUCUUCCUGCAUCUUGUGGAGGCACAUGGCCUAGUGGUUAGAGCAGCG
rnacentral:lncRNA from 1 species